AUAAACGCUAGCGGCAGGCCUAACACAUGCAAGUCGAGGGGCAGCGGAUGGAGUGCUUCGGUACUCCUGCCGGCGACCGGCGGACGGGUGCGUAACGCGUAUGCAACCUGCCUUCAACAGGGGGAUAAUCCGAAGAAAUUUGGUCUAAUACCCCAUAAUAUUCCGACAGGCAUCUGUCGGAGUUGAAAGCUUCGGUGGUUGGAGAUGGGCAUGCGUUGUAUUAGCUGGAUGGUGAGGUAACGGCUCACCAUGGCGAUGAUACAUAGGGGGACUGAGAGGUUUUCCCCCCACACUGGUACUGAGACACGGACCAGACUCCUACGGGAGGCAGCAGUGAGGAAUAUUGGUCAAUGGACGGAAGUCUGAACCAGCCAUGCCGCGUGCAGGAUGAAUGUGCUAUGCAUUGUAAACUGCUUUUGUACGAGGGUAAACACAGAUACGCGUAUCUGCUUGAAAGUAUCGUACGAAUAAGGAUCGGCUAACUCCGUGCCAGCAGCCGCGGUAAUACGGAGGAUCCGAGCGUUAUCCGGAUUUAUUGGGUUUAAAGGGUGCGUAGGCUGUUUUUUAAGUUAGAGGUGAAAGCUCGACGCUCAACGUCGAAAUUGCCUCUGAUACUGAGAGACUAGAGUGUAGUUGCGGAAGGCGGAAUGUGUGGUGUAGCGGUGAAAUGCUUAGAUAUCACACAGAACACCGAUUGCGAAGGCAGCUUUCCAAGCUAUUACUGACGCUGAGGCACGAAAGCGUGGGGAGCAAACAGGAUUAGAUACCCUGGUAGUCCACGCAGUAAACGAUGAUAACUCGUUGCCGGCGAUACACAGUCGGUGACUUAGCGAAAGCGUUAAGUUAUCCACCUGGGGAGUACGUUCGCAAGAAUGAAACUCAAAGGAAUUGACGGGGGCCCGCACAAGCGGAGGAACAUGUGGUUUAAUUCGAAGCAACGCGAAAAACCUUACCAAGUCUUGACAUCCUGAUGACCGUUCCUUAACCGGAAUUUUUCUUCGGAACAUCAGAGACAGGUGGUGCAUGGUUGUCGUCAGCUCGUGUCGUGAGAUGUUGGGUUAAGUCCCGCAACGAGCGCAACCCUCGUCGUUAGUUGGAUGUGUCGGUACACUUACACAUUCCUCUCUAGCGAGACUGCCGGUGAUAAACCGGAGGAAGGUGGGGAUGACGUCAAAUCAUCAUGCCCCUUAUGGCCUGGGCUACACACGUACUACAAUGGCUGUUACAACGUGGAGCAACCUCGUGAGAGGAAGCGAAUCACUUAAAGACAGUCUCAGUUCGGAUUGAAGUCUGCAACUCGACUUCAUGAAGCUGGAAUCGCUAGUAAUCGCGGAUCAGCAUGCCGCGGUGAAUACGUUCUCGGGCCUUGUACACACCGCCCGUCAUACCAUGAGAGCUGGUAAUACCCGAAGCCGGUGGCCUAACUGUAAAGAAGGAGCCGUCGAAGGUAGGACUGGUGAUUGGGGU
rnacentral:rRNA from 1 species